GGGCAAAUAGUGUAGUUGGUUAUCGCGCCCGCUUCGCAUAACGUGAUCUGAUCGGUCAUCACGUGACCCUGCGGGAGGUCUGGAGUUCGACUCUCCAUUUGUCCA